rnacentral:lncRNA from 1 species
UUAAACGUAUUGCUGUUCUCUCUCUUUGUGUAGAAGAUAUCAACCUGCUGGAUCAGCUGUGGCAGGUGGCCAACAGCAGUAAUGCCACUGUGACUCUGGAGGGUCAGAGAUGUCCAGUGCUGCAUGUAGGGCAGUACUCCACCCUCGCCCUGCCUUUACGCCACCUGUUUGGACACAGCUUUGGGGAUGAGUUCAGUUUGCUGCUGCAGUUGCGCAGUUCUCAGCCUGAUGACCGCAGUCUGCUGACCUUCCUCUGCCCUGACGGACACAUCCUGCUGCAGAUCCGCAUCAGUGCUUUCUCCUUCACCUUCAUCAGCACACAACAGCGCCACUACGAGUUUCCUGUGGGCGUACUGUCUGAUGGAAAUUGGCAUCGGGUGGCAGUGAGUGUGUCUACAGGACGGUUGGCUGUGUACGUGGACUGUGCCAUGGUGGAGAGCGUAGACUGGGUCUACCAGGAUGGCCUGGGCAUCGCCACCGAUGGACUCGUCAUGUUGGGAGGAAUCAUUGAGGAAUUUGAGACACCAUUUGAGGUAAAAGCUCUGUCUCUCUAGGCUUGGUUUAAUCCAAAUUACUGUAUUUUUGCACUAUAAUGCGC